CAGUACAAGCCAAAAUAAGGUGAAACCGCGAAAGGCUCAUUAAAUCAGUUAUGGUUCCUUAGAUCGUACACACAUUUACUUGGAUAACUGUGGUAAUUCUAGAGCUAAUACACGCAAACAGAGCUCCGACCAGAGAUAUAAGGAGUGCUUUUAUUAGAUCAAAACCAAUCGGCGGGCAGGCACUUGCUGUCUGUUCGUCGCCCUAUUUGGUGACUCUGAAUAACUUUAUGCUGAUCGUACGGUCUUGCACCGGCGACGCAUCUUUCAAAUGUCGGCCUUAUCAACUGUCGAUGGUAGGUUCUGCGUCUACCAUGGUUGUAACGGGUAACGGGGAAUCAAGGUUCGAUUCCGGAGAGGGAGCCUCAGAAACGGCUACCACAUCCAAGGAAGGCAGCAGGCGCGCAAAUUACCCACUCCCGGCACGGGGAGGUAGUGACGAAAAAUAACGAUACGGGACUCAUCCGAGGCCCCGUAAUCGGAAUGAGUACACUUUAAAUCCUUUAACAAGGAACAAUUGGAGGGCAAGUCUGGUGCCAGCAGCCGCGGUAAUUCCAGCUCCAAUAGCGUAUAUUAAAGUUGUUGCGGUUAAAAAGCACGUAGUUGAAUCUGUGUCCCGUGUUGUCGGUUCACCGCCCGCGGUGCUAACUGGCACGUCUCACGGGACGUCCUGCCGGUGG
rnacentral:rRNA from 1 species